rnacentral:lncRNA from 1 species
UCCCCACUUUGCUACUGAGCUGAUGGGAUAGAUUUCAGCCACCCACAACCCUGAAUUGGAAUAACUGCAUAAAUCAUUAUCUUAUUUGUUUUUAUUAAUCUUUCUUAAAUGUAUCUAUAACUCACAUUUGUUUUUAGUCUUUAUCUAGAAGUCUGGGGGUAUUUUUGUGAUCAGAGAUAUGCUGUAGGAACUCAACUUACUCAUAUCAAUUAGCCUAUGGUAGAACUGAUUUCCUCAUACGUCAUCUCACUUAAAGUUACAAUUUCCAAGAACCUAUCAACAAUGUUAAGUGAGGAUUUACGGUACUUACUUUAAACCCACCUCAUUCAAGUCCAAAUGGGACUGUCACAGUAUUCUGAAAAUUAAUUAAGAAGUCUGUUUAAUUGUUUAAAAAAAGAAAAAGGAUGAACUUCUUCACAUACUUGAGAGAUCUAUAGGAUAUAUGAAGAGAGCAAAAUGCAGACAUUGUUUAUAGUAAGCAAUGUUUUGAGUAAUAAAAAAUAUGGUCAUGCAUUGCUUAAUGACAAGAGUAGGUUCUGAAAAUUGUGUCACUGUAUAAUCAUAUAGUAUACUUACACAAACCUAGAUGUAUAUAGCCUACUACAUAGCUAGGCUAUAUGGUACAUAGCAGUCUACAAACCUGUAGAGCAUGUUCCUGUACUGAAUACUUAGGCAAUUCUAACACAUGGUAAUUAUUUGUGUAUCUAAACAUAUCAAAACAUAAAAAAGGUACAGUGAAAAUAUGGCAAAAAAGAUAAAAAAUGGUAUGCCUGCCUAGGGCACUUACCAUGACUGGAGCUUGUAGGAUUAAAAGCUGCUCCAAGUGAGGUACUUGUGUUGAGUGAAUGUGAAGGCCAAGGACAUUACUGUGCACUACUAAAGGUUUACAAACGCUAUACACUUAGGCUAUACUACAUUUAUUUUUUAAAAUUCCAUUUCUUCAAUAAAUUAACCUUAGCUUACUGUAAUGUUUUUACUUUAUAAACUUGAUUUUUUAACUUUUUUAAUACUUUAGCUUAAAGUACAUUGUGCUACUAUACAAAAAUAUUUAUUCUUUAUAUCCUUAUUCUAUAAGCAUUUUUCUAUUCUUUUAAUUUUAAAUUUUUACUUUUUUAAACAUUUAGAAAAAAAUUAUGACACAAACAUACACAUUAGCCUAGGCCUAUACAGCAUCAGGAUCAUUGAUAUCACUAUUUUCCACCUCCAUAUCCUGUCCCACUGGAAGGUCUUCAGGGUCAAGAACAUCCAUGGAGCUCUCAUCUCCUAUGAUAACAAUGCCUUCUUCCGGAAUACCUUCUGAAGGACCUAUCUGAGCCUGGUUCUACAGCUUUGUUUUUUUUUAAAUAAGUAGGAGUACACUCUAAUGAUUUAAAAAUAUAGUAUAGUAAAUUCACAAAUGAGUAAGAGAGUCACCUAUCAUCAUUAUCAAGUAUUAGGUACUACCCAUAAUUAUGUGAGCUACACUUUUAUAUGACUGGCAGUAAGUCUGUUUACACCAGAAUCACCACAAACACGUAAGUAAUGCCUUGUGCUACAUUAUGAUGGCUACACAUCACUAGGCAAUAGAAAUUUUUCACCUCCAUUAUAAUCUUAUGAGACCACCAUCAUAUAUGCAGUCCACUGUUGACUGAAAUGUUAUACAGUGCAUGACUAUAUAUAAGCUAUGUUUUAUGUAUAUUUUCAAAAAGAAUCAAUGACAGAAUAAAGUAAAAAGUAAUAAAAAAAAUUAAGGGGAAAAGAGAACAGGAUGAAGCAAAGAGUAAUGGUAAGACUUCUGGGAAUUAUUUAUUACACAGAGUAGCCAACCUCUAUCAUGACCCUCAACGGCUUCUGCACAUGUAUAGCAUUUAUGACAAUGGGUUGGUAUCGUUUAUAUUCUUAGAAAUUAGAAAGAUUUAACUCCACAAUACAAAAAUGACCAAAUAAGCAACAAGCACAUGAGUAUCUGCUCCCUGUUAGUCCCUCACAUACUGAAUAGGGCUGACCUGUAUACCAAGAAAAUAUUGCAGAAAUGACAGUGACAUUUCUGAGGACAGGCUAUAAAAGGUUAUCUUCUACCUCACUCUCUUCUGAUUACUCAUUCUGGUGAAGCUGUCAUGUCAUGAGGUCACCCAAGCAGCCCCAUGGAGAAGUCCAAAUGGUAAAGAACUGAAUCCUCCAGCUCUGGUUAAGCUUCAGAUGACUAUAACCCCAGCAGCCAUUUUUAACUGCAACCUCAUGAGAGAUGCUGAGCCAAAAUCACCCAGCUAAACCAUUCCGGGAUAUCUGUCUAAAACUGUAUGAGAUAAUUAACUUUUGUUGUCUAAGUAUCUAUGUUUUGGGAUAAUAGUUACACAGUAAUAAAUAAUACACAUAGUUUUGAUUUUAGAAACAUGUAAGGGAUUUUAGAAACAUGUAAGUUUUUUCUAAUGGCUAUUAGAAAAAACGACUCAAGACACAUUAACAAUGCAAAGUGUGAACCUUGUUAGGCCCCUCAUUUGAACAAGUCAAUUUAACAAACGAAUCUUGAAACAAUUAGGGAAAUUCAAACACAGACUAGCACACGUUGACAUUAAGAAUCACUGUUGAGGUUGCAGGUGAGCUGUAAUCAAGCCAGUACACUCCAACCUGGGCAACAGAGUGACACCCUGUCACAAUUAAAAAUAAAAAGAAUCACUGUUAAGUAACAGCAUGGUGGUUAUAUUAAAAAGAAGAUUAUCAGUUGGACAUAUAUACUGAAAUACCUGAGUAUAAUAAGCUGUUCAUAAUUUGAUUUAAACUACUCCAGCAAAUUAAAAGGGGUGCAGUGGGGAAAAAAUGAUGAAAAAAGAAUGCCAAAAUAUUGGUAAGUGUUGAAGCCACAUGACUACAUGAAGAGUUGAUUAUUCUAUGUAUGUUUCAAUAUUUACAUAAUAAAGGCUACUCAGCUUUUCAUUAUAUUGGCAUAUGAUUUUAAAGAUUUUAAUUAUAUGCUUUUUCAUUUUUUUAGGCUGUCAAACAGCAAUAUCUCCCGAUCUCUGAUGAUUUUUAGCGUUCUUCUCCUUACCAGUUACAUUUCUGGCAACAUCACAUAGUCUUCCUGUAACAGGCACUGGCUUUAUAUGAAAAAGAGUAACAUUAUCCCUUUUGGUUUUUUUUUAAUGAUGCUCAAUAUCUUGUUGAUCCUUUUAACUGAAAAACAUAUUAAGACUACAUUUAUUUGGAAUAAAAUUCACAGUUCCAAAGUCCCUUUUAUGGGAGUUAAGUAACAACUCAGAAUUCUUAAUUUUAGUAUGGACUAUUAACACAUUGUAAGAGAUUGCUAUGUUAACAAAUUAUAAGUAAUACAUUUUAUGUUGGUAAUUCUGCUCAAAUUAUAACCAGUAGUUGAUCUAAAUAACUGACAAUGUCAAAGACUCAUUAUACAACAAAAAGUAAAAGUAGCCUAUAAUUCAUGCUGGGAAUCUAUAAAUAACGACUAUAUUUAUCUAAAGCUGUGCUCUUAAAAUAAUCACUAGCUACAUGUGGCUAUUGAGCACCUGAAAUGUGGCUUGUUUGAAAUGUGAUAUGUUGUUUGUUGUUUGAAGUGUUCCAAAUCAGUGUCAAAUCCCAGACUUCCAAUACACAGUACCAAAAAAAUUAACUUUUUAAUAGUGAGUACACGUUGGAUACAUUAGGCUAAAUAAAAUUAAUUUUACCUUUUCUUAAACAUUUUUCUAAUGCUGCUAAAUAGAAAAACUACAUGUGGCUUCUAUCGUAAUUCUUUUGGACAGCACUGAUCUAGAAUUAGAUCAGUUAUUAAUAGUUUAAAUGAUGUCACAUAUUAAUUGUACAAUUUUCAUACUGUAUGUUUUAAUGUAAGCUAACAGUUAAUUGCAGCAAGGCAUACAAUACUACUCUAAAAAUUAAAUGCAUAUAAACAGUGUUAAUCUGCUACCUCUGAAAAAAGGAAUUUGGUUGCUGUGGACAGAGGUGGGAGAGAGAAUUUUCACUGUAUGUCCUUUCGCAUUUUUAAAAUUUUACUUAUUUGAAAAUGCUCAAUUAAACACUUCAUAGAAUGUUUAGAUAUUGCUAGUAGCGCCUUAAUUCCCAUUUAUUUAUACAUAAACAGCAAACAUUAUUUGGUACAAUGAUCCUUCCAACUGUCAUUGUAUCACAGUAUACACUGCUUAAAAUGGGAUUUAUUUAAAAACAAAUCUUUAGUUCGCUUGAUGUAGGCAUUAAACUCUCAUCAUACCUAUACUCUGCUUUUGUCCAUUUCAGCUGACAUCUGCUUUAGUUCUAGUUUGUUCUAGUUUUGGCAGUAGCAUUUUGGUGCAGAGGAGGAGUUAAUUAAAGUUGGUUGAGAAAAGGCUUAAGCAAUAAGAAAUUCUUCGCAAACCACUGAUUCAUCAGCAAAAUGUCACCUGCUAGUCCAUAAUGACUGGUGUUCAUCCAACAGACAACUCUGUGGAUUUUUUUUUUUUUGGCUUUGUUUGUUUUUGAGACAGGGUCUCGUUCUGUUGCCCAGGCUGGAGUGCAGUGGAGUGAUACAGCUCACUGCAGCCUAGACCACCCACUUCAAUUCAACAAUGCAAACAAUCCUCCCACUUCAGCUUCCCAAGUAGCUGGAACUAUAGGCACAUGCCAUAGCACCUGGCUAAUUUUUUUAAAUCUUUUUUUAUUUUGUAGGGACAGGGUCUCACUAUGUCACCCAGCCUAGUCUCAAACUCCUGGGCUCAAGUGAUCCUCCUGGCUCGGCCUCCCAAAGUGCUGGGAUUAUAGGCGUGAGGCACCACACCUAGCCAGGUAACUCUGAAAGUAUCACCACAGGAUGAUAGGAUUCUAUUCCAAAAGUGGUCAGUUCAUUUUAGCCUAUGUUUUGUUUUUGUUUUAAUGUAAUUGAUAACCUUAAUCACUUGCUUCUGGGGCUGGAAAUACAUUAUACCACUAUCUGACCCGUUAAACAAAUAGUUAGAGCACCACCUGGUGUUUGUUUUGAAGUGGAAUGCGGCUUUAAAGGUCCCAACACACAUAGACAAUACAAAAAUCACACUUCAUUAUCUGGAAGGCACCCUAGAGAUUAGUUAAGUACUUAGUCACAUUCUGCAGAACUCCAAGGUUUUCAAUGAGGCACCUUAGUGCCUGCUGUGUGAAGUCUGUUGCCCUUCAAUCCCCUAUUUUAAAUAUGGAGCUUUCAGGUUAUAUUUCAUUCAGAACUAAAGACAUUCUUUUGAAACCACUGGGUUCAGUCCAGUUUUCACAUUUUACAGUGAAAGAAUAUCAAAACCCAGAGAGACUAAACUGCAUAUCCAAGGACAGAUUAUUUCAGAAGAAAAAGUCUGACUUAAAAUACACUGCUUUUUUUCCAUUAAAGACAUAUUGCUAAAUUUACAAAAUUAUAAAAGGCUACUAAUCUUAACAAAAAAAACCCACUACAACUAAAGUUAUCCUUUACCUCUAUUCAGAAAUCUUUUUUAAAUUAGAAAAAUCAUGCACAGAUGUUGAAGAAAGGAGGGAGAUAAAAUAGCAUCUAUAACACAAAAUAAAGUGUGAAAUCACCAGUCUGAACUUCACUAUCCUCCCCUCCAAGGGUCACCACUGACUAAUGACUGGUCUUUCACUCUGUAUCUAUAUUCAUAGAAACACUUUUUUGAGGUAUUUUUUUCAUUCCAAUAAUUGGAAACAUACCUGACAUAUUGUUCUAUUUGGUUUUUUAACAUCAAAUCAUGUCAGUAAAUCAAAAUUUUUCCUGUGUUUAAGGCAUGACUAAAUACAUGAAGUGUUUACAACAAUGCUGUAAUAAACACUUCUACACAUGUACUUUCCCAAACAUGUGUUCUAAACUCUAUUUUACCUUCAAUCUGACCUGCUUGAGUCUGAGCUCCUGUAUAUGGUGGCUGCUGUGGCUGAACGCCUGGUGGGUGAGCUGCUGAGGAGGAGGAAGCAAUGCUGUCGGGUGUUCCUGAACGAUCUUCUGCAGGAGCACUGGGUGGCCCUGGAUAGUCAAAAAAAAGUCAGUUUAGUAUCCAACACAAGGCCUUCCCCCAGCAAGCUCAAGGAAUAAGUUUGGUUAAAAGAUACUAAAAGUACUAUAGAAUAAGUAUAUAACCACAAAUACGCCUUUUUACAUUAAAUGUAUGUACUUUAUUUUUUCCUUUGCUCCAAUCUCUUAAUCCAAAGCUACAACUGGAACUCCUUCCUUAUAAAGUGUAGAGUACUAUAUUCCUGAGUCUUAACCUCUCCCUGCAAAAAUCAAAACUCAUGUCUGCAAUGCCAAUAUCCCCCUACUCCAAGCAAUGUAUUCUGCACAGGAACCAAAAUUGUCACUUCAUUCUUCAAGGGGUCUUCACUGACCAUAAAUUAAGUUCAACCUCCUAGUUUGGCAUUAAGGGUCCAAACAUUAUUUCUCACAAUUUCUCUUCUCACAUGCCUCCCUUUCAGCUAAACUAACCUUCUCCCUACUCCCAUAACAUAGCUAAUAUUUUUUUGACCUCUAUUUCUCUCCCACUAGAUCCCAUAUAUUUAAAUAUAACAUUCACAUAUUUAAAUAUAACAUUAUUUAAAAUCCAAUUAUAAUUCCACACUUCUAGUAAGCCUUCUUGACUCAUGAAUACUUUUUCUACUAGUGAACUUCUAUCUAGUUUACUUUUGUUAACUCAUACUGACUUCUACUUUGCAUUUCUGAAUAGCUCUCACUUUCCCUCUUAAAGACUCUGCACUCUUUUGGCCGGGCUCCUGACUGUUGAUUCUUUUUGUCUGCCGAACAAGGCCUAGCACUCUAACUUACAUAUGGAGCCACUAUAAUUCUUACAAAAUAAUGAACACAGAAAUGAAUGGAGAGAAUAUAUUACAGUUCCAAUGCUGUGACAGUCAAAAAAGAUAUUCUGAGGACAAUGUAAAUAUGUCUUAUUCCUUUAAAUUCUUUCUGCUUUGGCAAUGCAGAAGAGUGGUUAAAAGCAUAGGUUUUGGAGCUAGACUACCCAGGUUCAAAUCCUAGUGCUGUCACUCACUAGCUGUGUAACUCUGGACAUGUUACAUAAUCUCUUUCUGUGCCUCAGUUUCCUCAUCUGUACAAAGGAUAUACUAAUUCCUACUUGAUAAGGUUAUUGUGAGGAUUAUGAGUUUACAAGAGCUUAUAGCAUGGGCUUAUAAAAGGAAUUAUACAGCAAAAGCUUAUAAAAGUGACUACUACUCAGAAAGUUCCAUAUAAGUACUUGCUAUUAUCAGCAGACUAAUUUCUCUAAGGGCAAACCUCUAUCUUCUGCUCUGAUGUAUCCCCAGAACUUACCACAGUAUUAGGCACAGUUGACAGCUGACAGUCCAAGUAUUAAUAAGAACCUAAACUAGGAUAUAAUAGUGGUAAUGCAAGAGAGACUGAUGAUUGCCAAAAUAAAAUGGAUGAUGGUUUCUAUCUACCACCAUUUUACUUAAAUUUAUAUCUAUGUAGAUAAAUACACACAUUCUUCCCACAAAAGACACUGUUAUUAGCCUAAAUAUAUAUAUUUAUUACUUUGGCUCCUCUUUCCUCCCUUAUAUGUAAUUUAUUACAGUUAAUAUUCAUUCCAUGUUUGUAAUAUUUUAUCCCUCCUUCCCACUGCCACAUUCAUUAUUCUAAUAAGCCACAUUUUUACCACAUCACACCUGAAGAACUACAAAAGUAUCCUAGCUAUGCAUACAGUUUUUCCUACUAUAAUUCAACAUACAAAGCUGUGAGAAAAAUGGUCUUCAAAUAAUGUGAAUCAUAUUAAUAUUAUUCUAGUCUGGAAUAUACUACAUUUAAAUCAAAAUUUAAAAGUCUGACCUCAUCAAAUUUUCACACAAUUCUCUUUUGUGAGUAAUUCCAUGAAAGUCUCUAAGAAAUACAAAAUGGACUGUACACAUUUCCAACUACUGAUAAAGGCAAAGUAAAUCCAUCAGAUAAACUCUCUCCCAGGUAACAACUAAAAACAUGAACAAAACAAAAGAAACUAUUUGAAAUAACUGAAAGUCAAUCAGAAACCAGAGGAGUUUACCCCAAUAAAAUUAGAAUGGAUAAGAAUUAAAAGCGCUGACCUCUGCAGCUCCAAUGGCAGAAAACCACAGUGUUAACAACCUUAUGGCUAGACAAGCAGCUGAAGAUUUAGGAGGAAAAUCCCGGAAGUGAAGGUGCUACUGAAAGGGUAAGACCCACGAUCUAGGUAUAUACACUCUGUCCAAAUCCCCAGCUGACUAUAGGGCUGGGAGAGCAGACGAGGAUAUCUCAAGAAGGCUCAGAGAAAAAUGCAGCACCUAGAGCAAGCUGAAAGGACUGAGCAUACAUAUCAGCUGCUAUACACCAUAGGGAGAAAGAAGGAGCAGUUUUGAGUAUGUGAAAGUUAUCAAAACCAAAAUGAAGUCAUUAAUGUUAAAAAAAAAUUAAAAACUCUGAUAAGGCCAUGAAGAGAGGAUUCUUGCAAAAACUAUCACAAAAGAGUUCAAAAACCACAAGCCUACACAAAGGCCAUCACAACUUUGCAAAAAAAAAAGCAAAAAAAAAAACUUCUGUGACUGUGAGGACAUCUGCCCAGAAACUGCCUGUCCAACCUCAGACUGGCAUCACUCUUGCUAAUGAUCUUUGUAGCCAACAAUAAUUAUUUCAAAACAAUUAUAUAUUCUCCUCAUUUUUUCCUUUAAAAACCUUUGUCUGCCUUUACCUCACUGAAUAUGCACAUAGUUUACUAUGGCAUGCAUAUUUUCAAUGCAAUGCUCUAUUCCCAAAUACCUUUUUCUUUUAGAGAGCGCUUUUCUGUUUGUUAUUUAUGUUAAGUCCAUACAAAUCAACUCCCUGCUAGAUCAACAAUAACAGAAAAUCCUCAAAAGAAUAUAAGUCCAAGUCACUACAACAUAUUAACCAGAAUGUCUAGUUUUCAACCAAACACUAUCAGACAGGCAAAGAAACAGAAAAAUGUGACCCUACUGGAGUUGGGGGGAGUGUGUGUGGGGGAGAGGAACCCAGUCAAUAGAAACUGACUCCAAAUGGGUCCAAGUGUUACAUAUUGCAGAUAAACAUUUUAAAGCAGCUAAAUAUUUUUAAAGAAUCAAACAUAAAUACAUUCAAACAAUUAAAGGAAAAUAUAGACUUAAUGAAUGUAAAAUAAAGAAUCUCAACAGAAAAACAGAAACUAUAAAAACCCAAUGGAAAUUCUAGAGCUGAAAGCACAAUUAAACAAUUCACUAGAAAGGUUCCACAGCAUAUUAGAAAUCACAGCGACCUUGAAGAGUUCAACAGAAAUCACCCAACCUGAAGAACAGAGAGAAGACUGAAGAAAAAUGAACCUUAAUGACCCAUGAGACAGUAUCAAGCUCUCCAAUGUAUGUGUUAUUAGAAUCCGAAAAGAGAAAAAGCAGGAAAAAAUAAUGAAGAAAUUAUAACCAAAAGUUAAACAGAAUAAAACAAUAUAGGUACUGCUUUAAGGUUAAAAACUUAUUUAUAUAAAAACCCACUGUAUACUCAAGCAAUUUAACAAGAAAAUCUACAUUUAAUUUUCAAUUUCUCUAAGAUGAGGAGAUAAGACAAAUCAAAUAUAAUUCGAAUACUGCAACUAAUCAAAUUAUAAAAUAGUUCAGAUUUUUAAAAACUUUCUAAAUUUUACUUUCAAAAAUUUACUUGAACCCAACAGUGCUUAUUCUUUAAGGGGGAGGGUGCUACUCUUGGGGAGAGGACAUAAGAAAGCUUUCUGAAGUGCUGGAAAUCAUCUACAUCUUAAUCUAGUUAGUCUUUUACAUAAGUGUACACAUAUGUAAAAAUUUGUUAAGCAGAACCCUUAAGAUUUGUGCACUUCACCAUAUCCAAGUUAUUCUUCAAUUAAAGAAAGAAGGAAAGGGAAGAACGGAAAGAUGAAGGAAACGAAGGGUGUAAAGGAGUUGGAAACCAACUUACCUGAAACCUGAUCAUCUGUUAAGCCAAACGCUGACAUAACAUUUUU